rnacentral:rRNA from 1 species
CGGCAGGCUUAACACAUGCAAGUCGAACGAUGAYUAUCUAGCUUGCUAGAKAUGAUUAGUGGCGGACGGGUGAGUAACAUUUAGGAAUCUGCCUARUWGUGGGGGAUAGCUCGGGGAAACUCGAAUUAAUMCCGYAUACSACCUACGGGUGAAAGGGGGCGCAMGCUCUUGCUWUUASAUGAGCCUAAAUCARAUUAGCUAGUUGGUGGGGUAAAGGCCCACCAAGGCGACGAUCUGUAACUGGUCUGAGAGGAUGAUCAGUCACACCGGAACUGAGACACGGUCCGGACUCYUACGGGAGGCAGCAGUGGGGAAUAUUGGMCAAUGGGGGCAACCCUGAYCCAGCCMUGCCGSKUGUGUGAAGAAGGCCUUUUGGUUGUAAAGCACUUUAAGCRGGGRGGAGAGGCUAAUGGUUAAUACCCAUUARAUUAGACGUUAC